rnacentral:lncRNA from 1 species
GGUUACUUCUGCUUAAAUACCAUACCAAAGGUCAUUAGUUUACCGGUAAAUCUUUUACUUUAGAAACUAGUUCUCCUUAAGAAUUCUAAGAAUGUCUCUUCUGCAAGUCUGAAGUGAACACUGGCAUCAUAGAAUCUCUCCUUUAUCACACUGGGAGGGAUACCAGAAAGCAGGCAGAAAGCUGAGCAGUAGGGCACAGAGCCAAUUCAAAAACAUCCCUGCACCACCACGCCACCACUACCACCACCCCAUCCUCCAAACUGAGUUUCAGCACAAGGAGGAACAUGGCAACUACUGGUUUCAGAAAGAGAAUGAUUAGCCCAAAAGUGCUUUUUUGCAGUAUUGCAGUCAGACUACAGCCUCAAUGACAUCUGAGCAUUUUCUUAUGAAAAAUAACAACAGUCUUGGGAUAGAAGUAGCACACUCAAAAAGAGAGACGGGGUUUUGCCGUGUUGCCCAGGCUGGUCUCAAACUCCUGAGGUCAAGUGAUCCACCCAUCAAGCCUCCCAAAGUGCUGGCAUGAGCCACUGUGUCCAGCCUGUAAGAAAUUUCUUCAUAAGGUUCAAAUAAAGAGUAUUUGACUUUGUUAUGACCAUGGCCUGUUUGUUCCAAAUGUGACCAUCUUUCAGCAGCUCAUCUCUUUGUCUCUUCCCCAAUAGGAACUCCAAUUACUGAAGGAGCUUUGCAUAACUACAAUCUAAUGGUGAUGUGGUGGGGCGGGAGGGGCAUCUUUUUAACUAGCAGAACCCAACUUGCCAAAAUAGACAUGAACAUCUUUUCAUAAAGAUUAUUUUCUGGGGAAAAUCUUGGCAUAAGAAUCUAAAUACAAACUGCAUUCAGGACACUGACCUUUCUUAAAGUAAACGGCUAAGGGAAAAGUCAUACUUUCCAUGAGACCAGUGGGUCAUGU